CCACCUUUAACAUUUCAUUUCAUACCAAACACACCCCUACCACCUCCUCUCUCCUCUCUUUCCCUCUUUCACCUAAAAACCCUAGAAGCCGUCCUCAUUUUCUCUCUCUCGCCUUGCCAAAAAUGGCAAAAGUUCAAAGGUUUCAGAGCUCAAUCAGUUUUUGUACGUCCGUUUGCGGCAAAGAAUUAAUGCAUCCAUCCUAUUUCCACUCAUUCUCACCAAACACCGCCUUAGAGAGGAGAGGAAGCACAAAGGCUUUCAAACCCAUUCCUGCUCGCAGUUGCACAUCAAAAAGAAGUUUUGCUGAACUUAGGAGUCACAAUUCCCCUUCAUUACAUCUCAGGUUGGCUUGAGUUUUGCUUUUCUUAUUGUACACUUCCUUUUAUAUGUUUAGGGGUGUACUCACCAGUGUGUUUCCCUUCUCCUCUUUGAUUAAAUUAAAACCAAGUUGUAAAUGGUUAUCCAUGUCUAUCUUUGUCUCAUUGAAACCUGCUAAGGUCAUGAAUUAUUUGGUGUUGUCCUGUCUAUUUAAACAUGUUAGAUUCUUGUUUUUUGUAUCAUGUUUGAUGGCUUAAAAAUGCUUCUGUGCCUUUUUCUUGUCUAAAUGAAUGCAUUUGCAUUCCCAAUGACCAUAGCAAGCUGAGUAUUGGUCUAGUUUUUUCCCUGUAUCUGUUUGAAUAGUUACUGAACAAUGCAGGACUAUACAUGAAAUUGAUAAAAGAGGAGAGGUAUAUACGUGGUAUACAUCUGAUAUACAUAGCAAAUGUGUAUAUCAAGCGUAUAUGAUGUGUAUAAACAAAUUAGUUAGCCAUGGUGUACAAUGUAUAUCAGCGAGUGUAAAGGAAAUAGGUUCCAUAUUUGCUUUAAUGCUAAAACUCAAAACUAACUUAAUAUGAAUAUGGCCCUGGUCCAUUCUAGAUAGUAUAAAGAAUAGCCCAUGUCCCAUGAUUAGUAGAAAUAAAGAAACAAUAGGAGUUCGGGUAGAAUUAAUGAGAUGUAUGUAUAUAUGUAUGCUCUUGUGUAUAUUUGGUAAGAUCAAUGGUAUAUUUUCUAACUGGAUUCCCUUUUUUUUUUUUUUUUUUUUUUUUUUGUGUGUCUCCUCCUCCACUGCAUGACCACUUGGGCCAAGUCAAAGCCAACCUGUUGGGCCAAGGCCCAACAGGCAAUUCUUUCGCAUUAUUAUGGAGUCCAGCGAAGAAAAAGGAAGCAAAUAUUAUAAGUACGCGUGAAGGCCCUGCGAUGGGUGAAAAUGGCCAACUAGGGGCUUGGUACGCCCCUAGCCUGCCCCUUUCUCUUUUAUUAUCAUUAUUUUAUCAUUUUAAUUUGUUGUGUUUGCACUUGUGAUACUUGUAAAAAAUUAUUGGAAUCUUUGGUUUGAACUA